UACGUAGGGUGCGAGCGUUAAUCGGAAUUACUGGGCGUAAAGCGUGCGCAGGCGGCUUCGCAAGUCAGACGUGAAAUCCCCGGGCUUAACCUGGGAAUGGCGUUUGAAACUACUGAGCUGGAGUAUGGCAGAGGGGGGUGGAAUUCCACGUGUAGCGGUGAAAUGCGUAGAUAUCAGGAGGAACACCGGUGGCGAAGGCGGUGCUCUGGGCCAGUACUGACGCUGAGGAGCGAAAGCGUGGGUAGCAAACAGG
rnacentral:rRNA from 1 species